GGAAAGGCUAUAGCUCAGUGUCAGAGCACCUGCUUUGCAUGCAGAAGGCUCCAGGUUCAAAUCCCAGCAUUUCCA